GGGGAUUUAGCUCAGCGGCAUGAGUCCCUGCCUUGUAAGCAGGCAGUUGUGAGUUCAAUCCCCG
rnacentral:tRNA from 1 species